rnacentral:sRNA from 1 species
AAGCAAAGCGUCUCUUUAAUACGAUUGU